AUGAGAGUGUCGAGGAUGGCAUUAUGUGGAAACAUUCAAACAAAUGAGCUCUACUCCGUGGCCUCUGCCUACAAGGCGCAAUUCCUUGGCAUGACCUUCUCCUCUUUGGACCAAAUGGUGUGGAAGGCUUGGGCGCCGCAAAAGGUUAAGUUCUUCGCAUCGUUGGCUAUUCAAGAUCGCAUUUGGACCGCCGAUAGGCUGGACAAUGGGGGAUGGACAAAUUGUGGGCUUUGUCCUCUUUGCAAGAGAGUGCAAGAGUGCGGCACGCACCUCUUUUUCAAGUGUCGCUUCACUUUGAGGCUUUGGGGCUUGGUCAAGUCGAAAUUACGACUUGAGAACUUUGAUGUCAUUUCUUGGCACUUGGAAGACUCCGUAAAAAAGUGAUGGGAAAGUCGUGCCGGCGUGGGCACCACACAGAGGAAGGCCAUGGCUUCGCUUACCAUGCUUGUCUCAUGGACCGUAUGAAACAAAAGAAACGCAAGGGUCUUCCGCAACAAAAGCGCGCCACCAACCAUUUUGCUCAACAAUAUCAUGACGGAGGCAAAUCUGUGGGUCACCGCUGGUGCUAAAAAUCUAGGGUCACUCAUGUCGCGAGAGUAA
rnacentral:rRNA from 1 species